UGUUAGUGUUUUAGUACUCAACAAGCAUUUAUAUAGAAUGAGUGCUUCUCUCAUCCAUACAAGGCAUUCUAAAGGGAAAUUAUGUAUUAAAAUUUUAUAAAGGACAAAUUCAAUGAAUUAUAAGCAAAACUGAGAGAAGUACAUGUUACACUAGUUAAGAGUUUAACUUUAGUCUCCUAUUUGAGUUUAGCCUAGAUAAUUAAUUUAUUGAUGUCGUACUGAUCCUUGUGUUUGUAUGAUUAUAGAGACCGUACUGGAGUAUUUGUGCCGCCUGAUAUUUGGGACUACACACCAAUCUCUCUGGCUGACCUACCU